rnacentral:rRNA from 1 species
UCGGCAACGGAUAUCUCGGCUCUCGCAUCGAUGAAGAACGUAGCGAAAUGCGAUACUUGGUGUGAAUUGCAGAAUCCCGUGAACCAUCGAGUUUUUGAACGCAAGUUGCGCCCGAAGCCAUUAGGCUGRGGCCCGCCUGCYUGGGCGUCACGCGC